rnacentral:rRNA from 1 species
UACGUAGGGGGCAAGCGUUGUCCGGAUUUACUGGGCGUAAAGAGCACGUAGGCGGAUAUUUAAGUCAGGGGUGAAAUCCCGCAGCUCAACUGCGGAACUGCCUUUGAUACUGGGUAUCUUGAGUAUGGAAGAGGUAAGUGGAAUUCCGGGUGUAGAGGUGAAAUUCGUAGAUAUUCGGAGGAACACCAGUGGCGAAGGCGGCUUACUGGUCCGUUACUGACGCUGAGGUGCGAAAGCGUGGGGAGCAAACAGG